ACAUGAGGACCGGUCAACUUGUUUUUUGUUCUUUGUUUUAUUUGCAUCCUGAGGCUCAAUUACUUCAGCAGCCGUCUCAUCAUCGGUAGCUUUCACUCCAGUAUUCACUUUUGCAUCUCCUCUCUCUUCACAGUCCGACGAUGAUGAAGUAGGUGAUUUAGAUGAUGAAUGCUGACCUUGCAAAGCUUCAGAGUUCUCAGGGUCUAGUUGCUCAACCUGCAGAGAUAGAGCUUGAUCAGUUUUACCCUUUUGUUCUGUCUUGGCAGCUGGAGGUUGACCAUUCUCCAUUGGUGGAACUGCAGCAGUGGAUGCAGGAAAACAGGUAAAGCCUGUAUGCAGAGGAGCACAUACAGGAAACAGUCCAUGGGCGGCCCACCAUGCAGUGGCAGCUGCUACAGUUGCAGCAGCGAUUGCAGCCAUUCUUGGAGCAGAGUUCAUUUGUCUAGAUGGGAAACCUCCUAAGCCGCCUGCAGGAGAAUCGCCAGAGCUUUCAAUAUUCGCAUAAGGCCAAAAUCUUGCUGCAAAGCUUGCUGCAGCAUGGGCAGCUGGAUUCUGUAACAAAGUAGAUACAAUGAGACUGGAAAAAGUGGAGGAGACAUGUAGAAAUGAUCGAUAGUCCUCUUGAUUUGGGCGAAGAUGCAUAAAGGGAGUAUGAAAAGGUGGCAGUGCCUGCUGAGUUGAUCUCGGAGCAUUAUUCUGAUGUUCAGUAGUUGCAGAUGCAGCUAGAUUUGCGGACAGGUUAGGUCCAUGAACAUCACCCAUAGGGCAAAAUACAGAAUCCUGAAAUGACAUAUCCAGGGAAGGAUUUUGAGCACAUGUUCUCAGGCUUCCAUCUAGGACAUGCACAGAAACAUGUCUAGGAUAAUUUUGAGCGGCUUGCAUUUCAUCUGCACAUAAAGCACCAUCCAAAUCAUCUUUUCUUUGGCCUUGAGCUGGUUUAUCAUAUGAGGUGCAGGAAUACUCCAGGUUUGAGGCCUUACUUGUACCAUUAUCAUGAAUUUUC
rnacentral:lncRNA from 1 species